AAUAGAUACCCGGGUAGUCCAUGCCGUAAACGAUGUCUACUAGCCGUUGGGGCCCUUGAGGCUUUAGUGGCGCAGCUAACGCGAUAAGUAGACCGCCUGGGGAGUACGGUCGCAAGACUAAAACUCAAAUGAAUUGACGGGGGCCCGCACAAGCGGUGGAGCAUGUGGUUUAAUUCGAUGCAACGCGAAGAACCUUACCUGGCCUUGACAUACAGAGAACUUUCCAGAGAUGGAUUGAUGCCUUCGGGAACUCUGAUACAGGUGCUGCAUGGCUGUCGUCAGCUCGUGUCGUGAGAUGUUGGGUUAAGUCCCGCAACGAGCGCAACCCUUUUCCUUAUUUGCCAGCACUUCGGGUGGGAACUUUAAGGAUACUGCCAGUGACGAACUGGAGGAAGGCGGGGACGACGUCAAGUCAUCAUGGCCCUUACGGCCAGGGCUACACACGUGCUACAAUGGUCGGUACAAAGGGUUGCUACUGCGCGAGCAGAUGCUAAUCUCAAAAAGCCGAUCGUAGUCCGGAUCGC
rnacentral:rRNA from 1 species